rnacentral:rRNA from 1 species
GUAGGGAAUCUUGCGCAAUGGGCGAAAGCCUGACGCAGCCAUGCCGCGUGAAUGAUGAAGGUCUUAGGAUUGUAAAAUUCUUUCACCGGGGACGAUAAUGACGGUACCCGGAGAAGAAGCCCCGGCUAACUUCGUGCCAGCAGCCGCGGUAAUACGAAGGGGGCUAGCGUUGCUCGGAAUUACUGGGCGUAAAGGGAGCGUAGGCGGAUAGUUUAGUCAGAGGUGAAAGCCCAGGGCUCAACCUUGGAAUUGCCUUUGAUACUGGAUAUCUUGAGUAUGGAAGAGGUAUGUGGAACUCCGAGUGUAGAGGUGAAAUUCGUAGAUAUUCGGAAGAACACCAGUGGCGAAGGCGACAUACUGGUCCAUUACUGACGCUGAGGCUCGAAAGCGUGGGGAGCAAACAGGAUUAGAAACCCGGGUAGUCC